GACAGAGGGUGCAAACGUUGUUCGGAAUUACUGGGCGUAAAGCGCGUGCAGGCUGCCAUGCAAGUCGGGUGUGAAAGCCCUGGGCUCAACCUAGGAAGUGCACUCGAAACUGCAAGGCUAGAGUCCUGGAGAGGAAGGCGGAACUCUCGGUGUAGAGGUGAAAUUCGUAGAUAUCGAGAGGAACACCGGUGGCGAAGGCGGCCUUCUGGACAGCGACUGACGCUGAGACGCGAAAGCGCGGGGAG
rnacentral:rRNA from 1 species